rnacentral:rRNA from 1 species
ACAGCAGUAGCCGCGGGAAUACCGAGGGUGCAAGCGUUAAUCGGAAUUACUGGGCGUAAAGCGCGCGUAGGUGGUUUGUUAAGUUGGAUGUGAAAUCCCCGGGCUCAACCUGGGAACUGCAUCCAAAACUGGCAAGCUAGAGUAUGGUAGAGGGUGGUGGAAUUUCCUGUGUAGCGGUGAAAUGCGUAGAUAUAGGAAGGAACACCAGUGGCGAAGGCGACCACCUGGACUGAUACUGACACUGAGGUGCGAAAGCGUGGGGAGCAAACAGGAUUAGAUACCCCUGUAGUCCCUGUCUCUUAUAC